rnacentral:lncRNA from 1 species
CCCGAACAUUGAAUUUGCUUCAUUUUACCCGAUUUCUCUUGCAAUCUUGUUCUUGUAUCUUCCAAUUGUAUCCAAUUAAACCAGUGGUAUCUUCGAUCUUCAUUUCGUUGUCCGCCUUAUUUAUAAAUUGUUUGCAAUUUAGUCAUUGACUUUUGGAUUUCGUCAUUUUUACUAUUUUUGCAAUAUUUUCUCCAAUUUUUUUUUAUCAAACAUCAAAUUUUUACCGACAAAAUGCAAUACAACACAAGUUAAGUAGUAUUUUAUACAAAGAAUAAUAAAAUAUCAUCAUUUAGGAUCUCAAAUGAGUGUAGAAACUACACUCAUCAGGGUAAGAAAAUCUUACAAAGUCAAAGUCAAGGAAGGGUCAGAUAAUGUUUUCCCAAACUACGCAAAAAUGCUAGGUAUGUCAGUAACAGCACCAGAUUCAUGAGGUGGUCUGNNN